rnacentral:rRNA from 1 species
AACGGAUCUCUUGGUUCCAGCAUCGAUGAAGAACGCAGCGAAAUGCGAUAAGUAAUGUGAAUUGCAGAAUUCAGUGAAUCAUCGAAUCUUUGAACGCACAUUGCGCCCCUCGGUAUUCCGGGGGGCAUGCCUGUUCGAGCG